GGGAGCUCUCCCGGUGCUGUCUGCUGCCGACACGGAGGGAAACCCAGCCUGGCUAAUUGACCCGGCUUCUGUAAGGCCAUCCAUCAACCGUGGCCCGAGUGGCCCCGUAAGAAACACAUUAUUCAGAGUGAUCCUGUGCCCUGAUCAGACAACCUUCGUGUCCACAUCGUCUCUCACUGUGUGUGUCAGCUCAGGAUUAAGAGAACGAGGGAGAGGAGAGAGGAAGGCAACAGAAAAAUUGAAGGAGGGAAGUGUACAUAAGCGAUUGAGAGAGGGAGAGUGCGAGCAUUGGAGAGUGAGAGAGGGAGAGAGAGCAGCGCUGCAGUAGCAUCCCACAGCAGACGGCUGAGGACUGCCGAUGUGUGUGUGACUGCACUGCUGAAGAGGAGGAGGAGGAGGAGGCAGAGGGUGAGCACGCUCGCAGACUCUGCAGGGCCAUAGAGGAGCACAGAGCAGCAGUGGCAGCGCUAGUGUUGGCCGGCACCAGGUAGAAGUCCCAGCGCUGUCGCCCCGCAGACCACCGCCGUAGGAUCUGGACACGCCAACGCCACCGAGACCCCCACCACCCACACCAUGGCACAAGCUGCCAAACAUCUCCGCAAGAACAAGGAUUUAGAAGCCCAGCUAGAGGCGGAACGCAAAGAGAAGGAGGAGGAGAGGGUCAAAAAGAGGAGUCGCUCACGGGAUAAAAAGCGCAAGGCCCACGCCGUGCAUCGCUGGCUAAUCGAUCAGGACAGUAGUGUGAGCUCUGAGAUGCCGGAUGGCCAAGGAGUAUGGCACUAUGAUGAUGAAG